rnacentral:sRNA from 1 species
CGAUCUGUUGCGGGCAAAUAAAGUGGAUGUGGCUGUCAAAGCCACCUGCAGUAAGUAUGCGCCCCUCGCCAGCAAUCGCUUCCGUUCCAGGACCUACAAUAAUAUCAACACCCGGUUGGGUGUCAGGGUUGCCCGCCUUGCCGAUCUUGUGGAUGCGCCCACCACACAGGCCGACAUCGGCCUUGUAUAUACCCGAAUGGUCCACGAUCAGCGCAUUGGUGAUGACGGUAUCGACCGCCCCUUGGGCGCGCGUCGAUUGGGAUUGGCCCAUGCCGUCACG